rnacentral:rRNA from 1 species
UACGGAGGGAGCUAGCGUUGUUCGGAAUUACUGGGCGUAAAGCGCACGUAGGCGGCUUUGUAAGUUAGGGGUGAAAGCCUGGAGCUCAACUUCAGAAUUGCCCUUAAGACUGCAUCGCUUGAAUCCAGGAGAGGUGAGUGGAAUUCCGAGUGUAGAGGUGAAAUUCGUAGAUAUUCGGAAGAACACCAGUGGCGAAGGCGGCUCACUGGACUGGUAUUGACGCUGAGGUGCGAAAGCGUGGGGGGCAAACAGG